rnacentral:rRNA from 1 species
GAUUUUUUACAAUGUGUGCAACCCUGAUCCAGCCAUCCCUCGCGUGCGAUUAAUGCGUUCGGGUUGUAAAGCACGUUUUGCAGGGAAGUAAAGGCGCGGGCUAAUACCCGGCGCCGCUCACGGUACCUGCAGAAUAAGCACCGGCGAACUACGGGCCAGCAGCCGGGGUAAUACGUAGGGUGCAAGCGUUAAUCGGAAUUACUGGGCGUAAAGAGUGGGCAGGCGGUUCGGCAAGAAGGAUGUGAAACCCCGGGGCUUAACCUCGGAACUGCUUUCUUAACUGCCGGGCUAGGGUAAGGAAGAGGGGGGUAGAAUUCCAGGUGUAGGCGUGAAAGGCGUAGAGAUGUGGAGGACUACCGAUGGCGAAGGCAGCCCCCUGGGAUGAUACUGACGCUCAUGAACGAAAGCGUGGGGAGCAAAC